AUCUUCCACAAUGGACGGCAGUCUGAUGGCGCAACGCCGCGUGAGCGAAGAAGGUUUUCGGAUCGUAAAGCUCUGUUGUAAGGCAAGAACACGUACGGGAGUCACUGCCGGUACCUUGACGGUACCUAACCAGAGAGCCACGGCUAACUACGUCCCAGCAGCCGCGGUAAUACGUAGGUGGCAAGCGUUGUCCGGAAUUAUUGGGCGUAAAGCGCGCGCAGGCGGUCUUUUAAGUCUGAUGUGAAAGCCCCCGGCUCAACCGGGGAGGGUCAUUGGAAACUGGGAGACUUGAGUGCAGAAGAGAAGAGUGGAAUUCCACGUGUAGCGGUGAAAUGCGUAGAGAUGUGGAGGAACACCAGUGGCGAAGGCGACUCUUUGGUCUGUAACUGACGCUGAGGCGCGAAAGCGUGGGGAGCAAACAG
rnacentral:rRNA from 1 species